AUGAUAUUCACACAUAGCUAAAAAUUUAUUAAGUGUGUUUCUUUGCUUGCAAGGCUUCUGAUCAUAGAUUUCUGUGUGAUAUAAGGGUUUACAUUUUUCCCUCUUCUUUCUGGAAGAAGAAAAGAAAAGGGAAAAAAAACAAAAAAAAAAAAAAAAAAAGGAAGGGGGAUGUUUGGUGGGGAGGGGGUUGAUUAGGAGGGGGGCAGCAAAUUUUGAAGUCCAAAGUCUUGAAUUACCAGCUGUAGUGCAAUAAUGAUGUUAUUUUAAAUUUAGCCCGUCUAUUAUUUUGUACAAAUUGGUUGAACUUUCACAAUUAUUUGGGGGAUUUCUUAUUGAAGAAAUUGAGAAAAAUG
rnacentral:misc_RNA from 1 species